rnacentral:rRNA from 1 species
CGCGGCCUAUCAGCUUGUUGGUGAGGUAACGGCUCACCAAGGCUAUGACGGGUAGCUGGUCUGAGAGGACGAUCAGCCACACUGGGACUGAGACACGGCCCAGACUCCUACGGGAGGCAGCAGUAGGGAAUAUUGCGCAAUGGGCGAAAGCCUGACGCAGCGACGCCGCGUGGGGGACGAAGGUCUUCGGGUCGUAAACCCCUUUCAGCAGGGACGAACGUGACGGUACCUGCAGAAGAAGCCCCGGCCAACUACGUGCCAGCAGCCGCGGUAACACGUAGGGGGCGAGCGUUGUCCAGAAUCACUGGGCGUAAAGAGCUCGUAGGCGGCUCGGUAAGUCGGGCGUGAAAAUCCAGGGCUCAACUCUGGAACGCCGCUCGAUACUGCCGUGGCUAGAGUCCGGUAGAGGAACGUGGAAUUCCCGGUGUAGCGGUGAAAUGCGCAGAUAUCGGGAGGAACACCGAUGGCGAAGGCAGCGCUCUGGGCCGGAACUGACGCUGAGGAGCGAAAGCGUGGGGAGCGAACAGGAUUAGAUACCCUGGUAGUCCACGCCGUAAACGUUGGGCACUAGGUGUGGGGCGUAGUGAAGCGCUCCGUGCCGAAGCUAACGCAUUAAGUGCCCCGCCUGGGGAGUACGG